AGCGAACGUUGGCGGCGUGCUUAACACAUUUUAGUCUUGAGGGGAAAGCUUCUUCGGAAGUAAGUACACCGGCGCACGGGUGCGUAACACGUGAGUAAUCAACCCUUUAGACUGGAAUAACUCGCCGAAAGGCGUGCUAAUGCUAGAUAGUCAAUACCUUCCUGCGGGUAGUGUAUUGUAAAGACGGUUUCGGCUGUCACUAGAGGACGAGCUCGCGGCCCAUUAGCUAGUAGGUGAGGUAACGGCUCACCUAGGCUACGAUGGGUAGCUGGUCUGAGAGGAUGAUCAGUCACACUGGCACUGGAACACGGGCCAGACUCCUACGGGAGGCAGCAGUGAGGAAUUUUGCGCAAUGGGCGAAAGCCUGACGCAGCGACGCCGCGUGAGGGAUGAAGGCCCUUGGGUCGUAAACCUCUGUCAGCAGAGAAGAAAUACCAAGGUUAACUACCUUGGUUCUGACGGUAUCUGUAAAGGAAGCACCGGCUAACUCCGUGCCAGCAGCCGCGGUAAUACGGAGGGUGCAAACGUUGCUCGGAUUUACUGGGCGUAAAGGGAUCGCAGGCUGCCUAUUAAGUCUGAUGUGAAAGCCCGAGGCUCAACCUCGGAACUGCAUUGGAUACUGGUAGGCUAGAGUAUGUUAGAGGUAAGCGGAAUACCUGGUGUAGCGGUGAAAUGCGUUGAGAUCAGGUGGAACACCAGUGGCGAAGGCGGCUUACUGGGGCAUUACUGACGCUGAGGAUCGAAAGCGUGGGGAUCAAACAGGAUUAGAUACCCUGGUAGUCCACGCCCUAAACGAUGAGUACUAGGUGUCUCAACUUUGACCGUUGGGGUGCCGAAGCUAACGCAUUAAGUACUCCGCCUGGGGACUACGGCCGCAAGGCUAAAACUCAAAGGAAUUGACGGGGACCCGCACAAGUGGUGGAGCAUGUGGUUUAAUUCGAUGAUACGCGAAGAACCUUACCUGGGCUUGAAAUCCUGCGAAUCUGUUAGAGAUAACGGAGUGCCUUCGGGAAUGCAGUGACAGGUGCUGCACGGCUGUCGUCAGCUCGUGUCGUGAGAUGUUGGGUUAAGUCCCGCAACGAGCGCAACCCCUGUCUCUAUUUGCUAACAUUUAGUUGAGAACUAUAGAGAGACUGCCCCGGUCAACGGGGAGGAAGGAGGGGACGACGUCAAGUCAUCAUGGCCCUUAUGCCCAGGGCUACACACGUGCUACAAUGGCGGAUACAGAGGGCAGCCAACCCGCGAGGGGGAGCUAAUCCCAGAAAGUCCGCCCCAGUUCGGAUUGUAGUCUGCAACUCGACUACAUGAAGUUGGAAUCACUAGUAAUCGCGGAUCAGCUACGCCGCGGUGAAUGCGUUCCCGGGUCUUGUACACACCGCCCGUCACACCACGAGAGUCGGCGGCGCUGGAAAACAGUGGUCUAACCUUCGGGAGGAAGCUGUUUAAGGCGAAUCCGGUGAUUGGGGUGAAGUCGUAACAAGGUAGCC
rnacentral:rRNA from 1 species